GCCAGACUUGGGGGUGCUCUCUGUACCUUAGUCCCAGGUACCCAGGAGGCUGAGACAGGAGGAUCACUUGGGUCUAGGAGUUCUAGGCCAACCUGGACAACAUAGCAAGACCCUGUCUCAA
rnacentral:sRNA from 1 species